AGUGAACGCUGGCGGUAGGCCUAACACAUGCAAGUCGAACGGCAGCACAGUAAGAGCUUGCUCUUACGGGUGGCGAGUGGCGGACGGGUGAGGAAUACAUCGGCAUCUACUUUUUCGUGGGGGAUAACGUAGGGAAACUUCCGCUAAUACCGCAUACGACCUACGGGUGAAAGCAGGGGAUAUUCGGACCUUGCGCGAUUGAUUGAGCCGAUGUCGGAUUAGCUAGUUGGCGGGGUAAAGGCCCACCAAGGCGACGAUCCGUAGCUGGUCUGAGAGGAUGAUCAGCCACACUGGAACUGAGACACGGUCCAGACUCCUACGGGAGGCAGCAGUGGGGAAUAUUGGACAAUGGGCGCAAGCCUGAUCCAGCCAUACCGCGUGGGUGAAGAAGGCCUUCGGGUUGUAAAGCCCUUUUGUUGGGAAAGAAAAGCAGCAGGUUAAUACCCCGCUGUUCUGACGGUACCCAAAGAAUAAGCACCGGCUAACUUCGUG
rnacentral:rRNA from 1 species